AGAGGACAUCAGGCACCCAGAAAAGCAACCCAACUCUUCGAAAGGAGCUGUGUGCCUUUGAGAGAGGAAGAAAAAGACUUCAAGGGGCAAGUUUACUUUAAUGCAAAGAGUCAGUUUUCGAGUAAUGUAAUCCUUUUUUGGAUAAACUGAUGUUGAGUAUGAUUAGCAAACCCUUGAUAAUAAAGUCUCUGCAUUUAAUGCUGAUAUCUCAGACCUAUGCUGUACACUUUCCAUAAGAUCAAAGUACAAUAUGUAAUUCUUAAUUUCUAUUCAACUGUAUAUUUGAAUACCUUUUAUUUUGUGUUGGGAACAAUGGGAAUAAAUGGAGUCAGUUAACUAGGUCUAA